CAUAUAGUGACUGUUUUCUUGGUGAUUUAUGGAGUACUCUUAAUGUUCUUGCAGAUUUUAGUAGCACAAGAAAAGUUGACUUAUCCUAAUGAGUCGCCAACAUUAAACUCAUUUGAAGUAUAUCAUGCCUGAAACAUUUUGGAGAUGUAAGCUAAAGUAUAUGAAAUGCCGUUACAGUUAAAACAUUAUGGAACGUAACACUCCAUUUGAAAUUAAUACUUGAUAAAUGUAUCUGCUUAGUUGGCAACCUCUGUUUUUUUUUAAUGACUUCGAUAAAUCUUACUGGGUAAAUGUAUCGUUUGUUUACGUUUAUUUUAACAGUUAGGGCAUUAGAAUUCUAUCCUAUGUGCACAUCUUCAUUUCAAAUUUGUAUAGUUAUUCAUUAGCAUUUUGCAGACAAAAAAAAAGUUCCACUACCUAAGGUGCUCAGGAUUUUACAGAAGAACAGAACACUCAAGCUGCAAGCAAGGGCUGAUGCCUAUCCUUUUUUGUGCGUCAUGAAUAGAAUAAAUUCAAGUCCAGCUCAAGGCCACCAUACAUUUUUCUCCUAUUCUCCACUACCUAAGGUGAGUCGAUCUGUUUAAUUUCGUUGGGUUAGUUUCAUGAGGAAUUGUUUGGAAAAUGGUUCUUCACUCAUGCAUAUUUGUGAAGAGUAUCUCAUCACUGUCCAUUUCUAAGCCUAUCAAUUCAAAAUUUGAUCGCUGGUAUGUGUUAUUUUAGAAGCAUCCCUCUAUUUAUUAUUCUAUUGAAUUGCAACUAUGUCAUUAGUUUUGGGGUUCUUGCUAUAACCCAAGAGCGAAGGUCUACAUUUUUCCUUUCUUCAUGUACACGAUCGAGCAUGUCUGUUAUGAACGCGUAUAAACGGAAACAUACGACACAGCUUUUUGCUCUUUGUAUAUAGGUAUAAAUUACCUGAUCACAAUCCUCUCAGCAUCAAAAGUCUCAAUUGUUGCAUUAUUGCUAGGGCUUUCCCAUUCAUUGUGGGAGUUGGACCUUAUAUUCGUGUAGUCAUAUUCCCUUUGUUCAGGAGAUUAGAUAAAAUCUUUUACUACGGGUUGUUGAUGAAGGGGGAUUGAUGAAGCUGAGGUUUUACUAUGGGAGGAUGGGCGGGGAAGGGAUUUGGAGGUUUGUGACGGGUAGUAAGGAGUUGGAAGGGAUUAGGGCUCAUAUUGAUGAUUGAGUACUCACCACCUGUUUGUAAAAAGGCCACAUUGAGACAAUUGAUGGUAAAAAAAAAAAUGGGAGCAACAAGCUCUGAUCUCAAACUUUUCUCACUUUUUAAGAUAGAACAAAUGUGACUUUGAUUGGUUUGAGGGUCCAUAGUUAGUUGUUCAGGAACUGAUGUAUUGUUUGGAGGUGAAACCAUAUUUGGUAUUUGGUAGUAUAUUCGUUCCUAUGUAUUACACUCUCUUCAUGCCUUUUGUUGUCCCUUUUAGGUAUCAACGUGCUCUUGAACAUAAUGUGUACAUUGGUUGGAAUGGUAAUGAUUCUAAUGAAAAUUACUUCUCAACGGGAUAGAUUUUGGUCGGGGAGAGGAAGAACACUUAGCAAUCUUCAAUUUAAAAUUCCUAUAAGCACGGGGAUUUUGUUGCCUAAAUCCCUCCACAAUAUAGUGGAACUAAAAUGUUUACUUGAACUAAACUCAACUUUAUAAAUUGGUCAUUGCACCCUAUUAUUGUUGCAACUUGCAAUUCCUUUUAUUUUCAUACAGUUUAAUGGGUUUCUGUUCAAUUUCUCGGAGCUAAUGUAGUAACAACAAUAGUGGCUGGGAUUUUCAUUAGUUUUUUGUUCGUUCACGUCCAUUUAUUUGCUUAGUGUUUUGCUACGAUAAAGGGGUGCAAAUGCUUAAAGACUAUAUUUCUAAAUAUUAUGGGAGCUCAUACGUGUUCAUUAUUCCUGCUCCAACAACUAGGAGUCUUGACCAUGGUGUCUCUGUGGUGACUUUCGGUUUAAAAGUUGAUUGGUUAGAAGAGUAUUGACACAUUUCCAAAAGUAAUAAACGAUUAUAAAGAUUGUAGGAGUGAUAAGUUGUCCUUUUUCUUCAUUGUCAUUCCUAGAUUGUACAUAAACCAAUCCAUAUUCUGUGAUGAAUUUAAUAAUUCUUAAUCUUAUUUAUGUAGGAAUAUCGAGGACCGGCAAAUGAACAAUGGGGUCGUCAUGAUAAGAGCUUUGUUAAUAGAUUGGGAAUUUCAUAAGGAAUUUUUAUUUGUUAGGUUAAGUUUUACAAAUAUAUAUUCGGUUUUAUUACGUGUGUUGGGUGAUUUAAGGAUUUGGGAUAUUUUUUACCUGCUUGAAUAUUUUUUGCACCUUGAUUUGACCUGCACAUAUAUAUCGUAUUUUAUUUUGUUCCUACCUAUU